GGGCUGUUGGGGGCCACCACGGGUUCAGGUAGAAGGUGUCAUUACGACCUUUAGCACUCAGUGGACAGAGAGAGAAGGAAAGGGAGAUAUCCAUGGAACCACGACUGCAAUAUAGGCCUACACUCAAAUAAAAAGGGACAGGGAAGAUGGUUAAAAUUGAUGGGAAGAUGGAUGGAGCCAAAUACAGGACCAUUCUGGAAGAAAACCUGAUGGAGUCUGCAAAAGACCUGAGACUGGGACGGAGAUUUGUCUUCCAACAAGACAAUGAUCCAAAACAUAAAGCAAAAUCUACAAUGGAAUGGUUCAAAAAUAAACAUAUCCAGGUGUUAGAAUGGCCAAGUCAAAGUCCAGACCUGAAUCCAAUCGAGAAUCUGUGGAAAGAACUGAAAACUGCUGUUCACAAAUGCUCUCCAUCCAACCUCACUGAGCUCGAGCUGUUUUGCAAGGAGGAAUGGGAAAAAAUUUCAGUCUCUCGAUGUGCAAAACUGAUAGAGACAUACCCCAAGCGACUUACAGCUGUAAUCGCAGCAAAAGGUGGCGCUACAAAGUAUUAACUUAAGGGGGCUGAAUAAUUUUGCACGCCCAAUUUUUCAG